rnacentral:rRNA from 1 species
UAGAGUUUGAUCCUGGCUCAGAUUGAACGCUGGCGGCAGGCCUAACACAUGCAAGUCGAGCGGUAGCACAGAGAGCUUGCUCUCGGGUGACGAGCGGCGGACGGGUGAGUAAUGUCUGGGAAACUGCCUGAUGGAGGGGGAUAACUACUGGAAACGGUAGCUAAUACCGCAUAAUGUCGCAAGACCAAAGUGGGGGACCUUCGGGCCUCAUGCCAUCAGAUGUGCCCAGAUGGGAUUAGCUAGUAGGUGGGGUAACGGCUCACCUAGGCGACGAUCCCUAGCUGGUCUGAGAGGAUGACCAGCCACACUGGAACUGAGACACGGUCCAGACUCCUACGGGAGGCAGCAGUGGGGAAUAUUGCACAAUGGGCGCAAGCCUGAUGCAGCCAUGCCGCGUGUGUGAAGAAGGCCUUCGGGUUGUAAAGCACUUUCAGCGGGGAGGAAGGCGAUAAGGUUAAUAACCUUGUCGAUUGACGUUACCCGCAGAAGAAGCACCGGCUAACUCCGUGCCAGCAGCCGCGGUAAUACGGAGGGUGCAAGCGUUAAUCGGAAUUACUGGGCGUAAAGCGCACGCAGGCGGUCUGUCAAGUCGGAUGUGAAAUCCCCGGGCUUAACCUGGGAACUGCAUUCGAAACUGGCAGGCUAGAGUCUUGUAGAGGGGGGGUAGAAUUCCAGGUGUAGCGGUGAAAUGCGUAGAGGUCUGGAGGAAUACCGGUGGCGAAGGCGGCCCCCUGGACAAAGACUGACGCUCAGGUGCGAAAGCGUGGGGAGCAAACAGGAUUAGAUACCCUGGUAGUCCACGCCGUAAACGAUGUCGAUUUGGAGGUUGUGCCCUUGAGGCGUGGCUUCCGGAGCUAACGCGUUAAAUCGACCGCCUGGGGAGUACGGCCGCAAGGUUAAAACUCAAAUGAAUUGACGGGGGCCCGCACAAGCGGUGGAGCAUGUGGUUUAAUUCGAUGCAACGCGAAGAACCUUACCUGGUCUUGACAUCCACAGAACUUUCCAGAGAUGGAUUGGUGCCUUCGGGAACUGUGAGACAGGUGCUGCAUGGCUGUCGUCAGCUCGUGUUGUGAAAUGUUGGGUUAAGUCCCGCAACGAGCGCAACCCUUAUCCUUUGUUGCCAGCGGUUAGGCCGGGAACUCAAAGGAGACUGCCAGUGAUAAACUGGAGGAAGGUGGGGAUGACGUCGAGUCAUCAUGGCCCUUACGACCAGGGCUACACACGUGCUACAAUGGCAUAUACAAAGAGAAGCGACCUCGCGAGAGCAAGCGGACCUCAUAAAGUAUGUCGUAGUCCGGAUUGGAGUCUGCGACCCGACUCCAUGAAGUCGGAAUCGCUAGUAAUCGUAGAUCAGAAUGCUACGGUGAAUACGUUCCCGGGCCUUGUACACACCGCCCGUCACACCAUGGGAGUGGGUUGCAAAAGAAGUAGGUAGCUUAACCUUCGGGAGGGCGCUUACCACUUUGUGAUUCAUGACUGGGGUGAAGUCGUAACAAGGUAACC